rnacentral:rRNA from 1 species
UACGUAGGGUGCGAGCGUUAAUCGGAAUUACUGGGCGUAAAGCGUGCGCAGGCGGUUUUUUAAGUCAGGUGUGAAAUCCCCGGGCUUAACCUGGGAACUGCAUUUGUUACUGCAAGGCUAGAGUGUGGCAGAGGGGGGUAGAAUUCCGCGUGUAGCAGUGAAAUGUGUAGAUAUGCGGAGGAAUACCGAUGGCGAAGGCAGCUUCCUGGGUCAACACUGACGCUCAUGCACGAAAGCGUGGGGAGCAAACAGG